CCUACGGGAGGCAGCAGUGGGGAAUAUUGGACAAUGGGGGAAACCCUGAUCCAGCAAUGCCGCGUGAGUGAUGAAGGCCUUAGGGUUGUAAAGCUCUUUUACCCGGGAUGAUAAUGACAGUACCGGGAGAAUAAGCUCCGGCUAACUCCGUGCCAGCAGCCGCGGUAAUACGGAGGGAGCUAGCGUUGUUCGGAAUUACUGGGCGUAAAGCGCACGUAGGCGGCUAUUCAAGUCAGAGGUGAAAGCCCGGGGCUCAACCCCGGAAUUGCCUUUGAAACUAGAUAGCUAGAAUCUGGGAGAGGUGAGUGGAAUUCCGAGUGUAGAGGUGAAAUUCGUAGAUAUUCGGAAGAACACCAGUGGCGAAGGCGGCUCACUGGACCAGAAUUGACGCUGAGGUGCGAAAGCGUGGGGAGCAAACAGGAUUAGAUACCCUUGUAGUC
rnacentral:rRNA from 1 species